rnacentral:tRNA from 1 species
GCCGACAUAGCUCAGUUGGUAGAGCAACUGAUUCGUAAUCAGUAGGUCGGAGGUUCGAUUCCUCUUGUCGGCACCA